GAGGAAUAUUGGUCAAUGGUCGCAAGACUGAACCAGCCAUGCCGCGUGCAGGAAGACGGUCCUAUGGAUUGUAAACUGCUUUUAUACAGGAAGAAACCCUCCCACGUGUGGGAGCUUGACGGUACUGUAGGAAUAAGGAUCGGCUAACUCCGUGCCAGCAGCCGCGGUAAUACGGAGGAUCCAAGCGUUAUCCGGAAUCAUUGGGUUUAAAGGGUCCGUAGGCGGUCUUAUAAGUCAGUGGUGAAAGCCCAUCGCUCAACGAUGGAACUGCCAUCGAUACUGUAAGACUUGAAUGCUUAGGAAGUAACUAGAAUAUGUAGUGUAGCGGUGAAAUGCUUAGAUAUUGCAUGGAAUACCAAUUGCGAAGGCAGGUUACUACUAAGUGAUUGACGCUGAUGGACGAAAGCGUGGGGAGCGAAC
rnacentral:rRNA from 1 species